UUCAAAGGGUACAUCCACAGU
rnacentral:miRNA from 1 species